CAUUGUCUACGGGGGGCAGCAGUGAGGAAUAUUGGUCAAUGGCCGAGAGGCUGAACCAGCCAAGUCGCGUGAGGGAAGACGGCCCUACGGGUUGUAAACCUCUUUUGUCGGGGAGCAAAGCGAACAACGUGUGGUUCAUUGAGAGUACCCGAAGAAAAAGCAUCGGCUAACUCCGUGCCAGCAGCCGCGGUAAUACGGAGGAUGCGAGCGUUAUCCGGAUUUAUUGGGUUUAAAGGGUGCGCAGGCGGAAGAUCAAGUCAGCGGUAAAAUUGAGAGG
rnacentral:rRNA from 1 species